rnacentral:rRNA from 1 species
UACGUAGGUGGCGAGCGUUGUCCGGAUUUACUGGGCGUAAAGAGCGCGCAGGCGGUCGUUCAAGUCGCGUGUGAAAGCCCCCGGCUCAACUGGGGAGGGUCACGCGAUACUGAUCGACUCGAAGGCAGGAGAGGGAAGUGGAAUUCCCGGUGUAGUGGUGAAAUGCGUAGAUAUCGGGCGGAACACCAGCGGCGAAGGCGGCAUCCUGGCCCUGACCUGACGCUGAGGCGCGAGAGCGUGGGGAGCAAACCGG